UACGUAGGGGGCAAGCGUUGUCCGGAAUUAUUGGGCGUAAAGAGCGCGUAGGCGGUCUGAUAAGGUCGGUUGUGAAAGUCGGGGGCUCAAGCCCUCGGAUGCCGAUCGAUACUGUCAGGCUAGAGUCCGGAAGAGGCGAGUGGAAUUCCUGGUGUAGCGGUGAAAUGCGCAGAUAUCAGGAGGAACACCAACUGGGCGAAGGCAGCUGC
rnacentral:rRNA from 1 species